rnacentral:rRNA from 1 species
CGGGUUAGUAACGCGUGGGAACAUACCCUUCUCUACGGAAUAGCCUUUGGAAACGAAGAGUAAUACCGUAUACCCCCUUCGGGGGAAAGAUUUAUCGCUAUUGGAUGGGCCCGCGUUGGAUUAGGUAGUUGGUGGGGUAAUGGCCUACCAAGCCGACGAUCCAUAGCUGGUCUGAGAGGAUGAUCAGCCACACUGGAACUGAGACACG